ACAGUGGACGCGAGCAUCUUAUUUAGAUCUUUGUGGUCAAGUUUUUAAGAGCACAGGGUGAAUGCCUUGGCACUAGGAGCCGAAGAAGGACGUAGGAGCCUGCGAUAAGCCUCGGGGAGUUGGCAACCGAACUGCGAUCCGAGGAUUUCCGAAUGGGGAAACCCGGCUGGAGUCAUGUCCAGUCACCCAUGCCUGAACACAUAGGGCAUGUGGAGGGAACGUGGGGAAGUGAAACAUCUCAGUACCCACAGGAAGAGAAAGUAACCACGAUUCCGUGAGUAGUGGCGAGCGAAAGCGGA
rnacentral:rRNA from 1 species